UUUUUUUUUUUUUUUUUGGUAGCAACAGAAAAACAAAUAUAGAUGAGAAGUCAGGCGUGAAGAGAUAACAGGUAAAAAUUAUCCAGAACUGAAUCUAGGCACAAAUAUUCAGAUAAAAAGUUUGCACCAUCUAACUAAGGAAAGCAGGUUAAACAUACGCAGUUAUUUCAGCUCUCUCCCUCUUUCGCUCCCCUAAAAUUACAAUAAAGGGCUUAUUUAUUUAUUUGACAGAGUCUUGCUCUGUCGCUCAGGCUGCAGUGCAGUGGCACAAUCUUUGCAACCUGCCUGCUCCUGGGCUCAAGUGACUCUCCUGCCUCAGCCUCCCGAGUGGCUGGGACCACAGGCAUGCGCCACCAUGCCUGGCUCAUUUUUGUGUUUUUUGUAGAGAUGGGGUUUCACCAUGUUGCCCAAGCUAGUCUCCACCUCCUGGGCUCCAGUGAUUCUCCUGCCUCAGCCUCCAAAAGUGCUGGGAUUACAGGCAUGAGACACCACACCCAGCCAAUAAAGGAAUUUUUAAGGUGCUCUUUAAAAACCAUUAGGACAAAGAGAUGGUAGAGGAGACAAUAUCAAUACAAUGUCGGGAUUGAACAGCAGAAGGACAGCUGGAAAUUGACUUAGCUCUGAAAAUUUUGAAUCUCAUCCAGCAGUGGGAAAAGCUCAGGAGCAACCUAACUACUCUGUAGAAACCUCAAAAGGCCCAGGCGACACCAGGUAACUCUGGAAGUGGAAAUGAAGUGGGGCUAAAAGCAGCAGGAUUGUCUUCAGUGGAGUGUUUCCCACCGUCUUUUGCUGUAGAGAAUCAUGAGCUGGUUCCAUGCAGUUUCACCUUAGGCAGGGGUGGAUGCUUUCCUUCCCCACCUUCAUGAUUUCUGCAGGUGCCCCAGCAGGAAGGAUCCAUGGCAGGCUGAGCAAACUCUGGGCACAGACAGGCAUUAUUCAUGCCGGACAUCAACAAGCUCUCUUCUGGCCGCUAUCAAUGUGGUCUUCUCUAUGGAGCAAUAAGAAAGACAGAUGACAACGCCCCUAGACACUGUGAUAGAAAUGCACAGGCUAACUUGUCUCCCCAGACUAACUUGUCUUCCAGCAGCUCCUUGGCAUUUGCUUGCUCAGGGUGUGGGGUGUGAAAGGCAGGAAUUUCCUGGGCCAGAGCUGAUUCCAUCAGUGCAUGGCCCAGCUGAUUCCAUCCUGACUUACACUGAUUCCAUCAGUGUAUCUGGUCCCUUCCCUACUUUUCCUCCUUGUAUUAGUUUCCUCAAGCUGCUGUUAACAAUGAUCACAAAUGGGCCAAGCACACUGGUUCACGCCUGGAAUCCCAGCAGUUUGGGAGGCUGAGGUGGGAGGACUGCUUAAGCCCAAGAGUUCGAGACCAGCCUGGGCAAUAAAAUAGGAACCUGUCUCUACGAAAUAAAAAAGAAUUAGCCAGGCGUGGUGGCACAUGCCUGUAGUCCCAGCUACUCAAGAGGCUUAGGCAGGAGGAGAGCUUGAGCCCAAGAGGUUGAGGCUGCAGUGAGCUGUGAUCAAGCCACUGCACCCCGUCCUGAGUGACAGAGUAAGACCUUGUCUCAGAAAAAAGAAAAAAAAAAAUCACAAACUAGGCAUCUUAAUGCAACAGAAACGCAUCUUGUC
ensembl:lncRNA